GUGCUUGCUUUGACAGCACAUAUACUAAAGUUGGAAUGAUACAGAGAAGAUUAGCAUGGCC
ensembl:snRNA U6 U6 spliceosomal RNA